CUAACGAGUGGAUCGCAUUUAAUUCUUGAAAGAACGAUGGAAAAGGAAGGGAAAAUCAUCAUCAAUACAUGCUUCCUUUGAUUCUAGCUAGCUAGGCCCUCCUGUCCUCCCUCUUAGGAUGCCCCAUUAAUUUCACUCAGCCGUGCUGGUUAGGGGAGAGGGUAGGUGUCUCUAAUGGCUCUAGAUUCUCGUAUGUGUUAGAAUUUGAGUGAGGGAUGGAUGAUAUUUGCAAUCAUUGGAAUACACCUACCCCUUUUCAAUCGUUUUGUGAAGAUGCUUGCUUACAUCACAGUAGACGUGCGAGUCCAUGACUCUGAUAUAUUUCAGCAUCAUGAUCAUUUCCUGCAUGCUACUCUGAUCGAGAAAGAGGGGAAGAACUUGUUUCUAGUUUAAUGAAUGAUUUUGGCUUAGUUUUAUAAAAGAAAUUUAAAGUGUUUCUUAAUUUAUAAUAAUAAUUAAAAAAAAAACGAGUGAUUUUUCAUUUAAUUCAACACAUGUCGAAGGUGUGAUCCAAUCGCUUUCCCCAUAGCCUUCUUACUCCCCGACAGAAACUAAAGGGUCCGUGAGACUAACCUGUCAACAAAAGAAUAUUGUCCUACAACUUGGCACUCACUUUGAGAAAAAUUAAAUAUAGAAUUACAAGAGACAAAUCACUUGGAAAUUAAUCACUAAAUACUUUUGUUGAUUAAUCUGUGGAACUAAUUAAUAUGAAACUUUCAGAAAUUAAAUCUUUGAAAUAAAUCAAAUACAAUAACCCUUCAAGUUCUUAUGUCAAUAUUAAUUUUCUACUUCUUUUUCUUCAAUUUGUGCACCAAAUCCCACCUUAAUUACUUCAUAAAUCUACCAUUAGAAAAUUAAUUAAGUGUUUAUAUGUAUUAUCAUUCCACUGCACACAUCAAAUUAAGUUCCCAUUAUCAAAAUCUUGCUUUCUAACCAACACACAAAACCAAAAGAUAAAUUAAUCAGACAGAAUCUCAGGCCAGUACUGCAGUAAACAAAACCUGAAAAUAAAUGUAUGGAUGAUCAGCGGCCUUUGUUUCUAGGCAUCAGUGAAUCUGAAAGGCCAAGAAAGCAGGAUUAUUUCAUUGGAUAGAAGUUGCAGGCAAACACCAAAUCUUCUGAUCAUGCACACCCACACUAUUUCUUGAUGAUUUGAUCUUACAUGGAAAAAGAUACAGAGAAUUGUAGUUAUCUGGGCCACCAUGAACUUUGGAAAUUUGGAAUGGUAGCUUUCAGAAAUGGAACCUUUAAUUUUUACUACAGUAAAAAUUGGCUGGCUUAACCUGUACUUCCAUGGUCAUGCUGAUGGUUGUUGAGCUUAAAAAUUAUACUUGCUGAUGACCUGCCAUUCCAUGAUCAACUACAAUUCCUUUCGGUUUUCUUCUUUUAAACUGACCGUCAAGUGUCAACAAAUUUAUAUAUAGUACCCUCCAACCAUUUUCCCUGCCACAAUUUAUUCUCCAACUCCAACCAAUUGGUUAUAACACCAACUCUCAGUACCAUUUUCUGCUUUUAUUUAUGCAACCACACAUUUGCCCUAGCUAAGGGAGUAGGGUGGUCAUUCAGGGGGGGUUUGUGUCCUUUGUCAUUACUUUGGAAAUUUUGCUUUAGAUCCAUGCAUGUAGGCCUCCUAUUUAUAGCAACAUGCUUGGAUUCUAAAUGGUCGCAGCAACUUGUGAAAGCUCCACAGGUGGUGAGAAAGAGAGGAUUGGAGCUCGCAUGGCCUCUUUGUAAUGUUUCUUGCUCAAAUGAGUAUUCCAACAACAGUAGCCUUUUGAACAAGAACAUAUGUUUUUGCCUUGAAUGGUUAUGAUGUUGCUGGUAUCUACUGUUUCUGAGAUGCUCAUUCGAGCAAGAAAUAUUAGAAGAGGAUAUUUUUCUACUAGGGUCUUGCUUCAAUAAGAGGAAGAACUGCUUGCUCAAAGUUUAUCAGAUAAGUUGCUGUACUUUUCUUCCCUAGCCACCACACAUGCAAAGGUUGUUUUCUGAUUUUUGCUCACAAGAGUCUAGCAAUAAAACAAGGUUUAGGGUUUUCCUCCCCCCCCCCCCCCCCCUGUGUUUCAGUUGCUAAAUAGGGGGUUCAUCUAGGUAGGGAAUAUUUAUGGUACUGAUGUAUCAGGUGGCUUCUCUCUCCACCCCCCCUUCCUGCACCUUUUCCUCCCUCCCUCCUGAUCUUGUUAUCCUGUCCUUAUCAUAUCAUGAGGUCCAUCUAUACAAUUAAUGCCUGUGCCAGUGAUGAUGAUGAUUGCUCCUGAUCAAGGAUGAUACUUUUGUUUUGUUUCUGUAAGCAUGUAUUCUGUCGAGUUUGUCACAGGGAUCAUGGUUAGUCUGUCUUGAUGAAAUCUGAUGGACUGGUUAAGCAUAUUUUUCCAUGAGAUUUCAUUGUCUGAUGUCCUGAAUUGAAGUUAUCCGCGCUUUCUUGUAUGGAACUAAUUCUGCUUCUGAUCACAGGUUUCUUAAUUCUCAAAGUGGUUAGAAUCUUCAGUUCUGCCGAUAAAAGACUUGCUCCACUGAUUCACAUGUGCCUUUCUCUUUCUUGUGGCUUGCUGCAGUUUUGUUAUAAUUAAUCCUUUUGUCACCAUGAGACCUUAUGCUGGUUCCACCUCAAAUUCUAUUUUUAUUCCUGAACUAUAUAUCAAUACUGUCCCGGGAUGUUUUUUGUUUACAUCUGAUGAUACUAGCGUGUGUGUGUGUGUAAUUUCACGGUCACUGCUGAAGCCAUGUUCCUGAGAUCAGAUGUGCUUUAUAUGGUCUGUUCAUUUCUGGUUCUUGUUCUGGGCUACUAUGGACAUAUGCUGAUGUGCUUGUUGCUUCAAAAUGUUGAUCACCUUCCUGUUUCUUGAUGAGCUUCUGAUCUUCUGCUAUGAAAGCUGUAUGUUUUCAUUUUCAGUGUAAUUUCUACUUCCUUUUAUGGAGUUUCCAGCUGUUCUCUCCAUGAUCUGGGUAGCCUUGAGUGAUAUAAUAUCUUUAAUUAAUUCUAAUAAAAAGUUUCUUCGUUUGAUCAGUA